ACUGAGGAACAUCCUUCCUGUUCAAAUGCCCAGGACUUGGCUGCCUGUGCACUUCCAUAUGCAAAGUGCCUAGAAGCUGGGGAGAGGGAGAGUGCAGGGUCAAAAGUGGGGAAUUCUGAGCCCACUCCUUUUACCCCCUGGGGGUGGCCUCACUUCCUCUGGGGGCUCUGACAGCUCUCUGGCCUGUCUUCAGCUUAGAAAUCUGCAAAAGUCAUUGGCCAGGCUCAGGAGAACUAAUCCUUUGUGCCAGAGGUCCAAAGAUAGACAACUAACUCAAAAUUGUAUCUUCGCUUUAAUCACUGCUCUGGUGAUAUUUGCAUUAAUGAAAGAGAAAAGAAAGCAUCCCCAACAGAUGGAAAAGGCGGCUCUCUGACUAGUGAAAGAACAACUUCCAGUAAAAGAAGGCACUGAGGUUUAAGUGCUACGUGGGAGCAGUUGCCGAUUUUUGCAAUGGGAGGCUGCAUAGAUUCAAGGUGGAACCAUCUAGUUGCAGGAAAACAAGCUCAGGGCUCCUGUUGAUUCUAUAUUAUGCUGUUCCAGCCUUCCCUGGACUCAGCAGAUGAUUCAUCCUAAUGUCCAGAAGAAAAAUAGACCAGGGUUUUAAAGUAUAAAAUAAUAAAUCUCAUCAUUUAUCCUUCU
rnacentral:lncRNA from 1 species